GUCUACGGCUAUACCACCCUGAACGCGCCCGAUCUCGUCUGAUCUCAGUAGCUAAGCAGGGUCGGGCCUGGUUAGUACUUCGAUGGGUGACCGCCUGGGAAUACCGGGUGCUGUAGGCU
rnacentral:rRNA from 1 species